rnacentral:rRNA from 1 species
CAGCAGCCGCGGUAAUACAGAGGGUGCAAGCGUUAAUCGGAAUUACUGGGCGUAAAGCGCGCGUAGGUGGUUUGUUAAGUUGGAUGUGAAAGCCCCGGGCUCAACCUGGGAACUGCAUCCAAAACUGGCAAGCUAGAGUACGGUAGAGGGUGGUGGAAUUUCCUGUGUAGCGGUGAAAUGCGUAGAUAUAGGAAGGAACACCAGUGGCGAAGGCGACCACCUGGACUGAUACUGACACUGAGGUGCGAAAGCGUGGGGAGCAAACAGGAUUAGAUACCCCAGUAGUCCAUGUCUCUUAUAC